rnacentral:rRNA from 3 species
UUCCGGUUGAUCCUGCCAGAGGCUACUGCUAUCGGGGUCCGACUAAGCCAUGCGAGUUGAGAGGGGUAAGCCCUCGGCAUAUUGCUCAGUAACACGCGGAUAACCUGCCCUUGGGUUUGGGAUAACCCCGGGAAACUGGGACUAAUACCGGAUAGAUCAAAGAAACUGGAAUGUUCUCUGAUCGAAAGCUCCGGCGCCCAAGGAUGGGUCUGCGGCCUAUCAGGUAGUAGUGGGUGUAACGUACCUACUAGCCUACGACGGGUAAGGGUUGUGAGAGCAAGAGCCCUGAGAUGGAUUCUGAGACAUGAAUCCAGGCCCUACGGGGUGCAGCAGGCGCGAAAACUUUACACUGCGGGAAACCGCGAUAAGGGGACCCCGAGUGCCAGCACCUAGUGCUGGCUGUCCAGCUGUUCAAAUAACAGUUGUUAGCAAGGGCCGGGCAAGACCGGUGCCAGCCGCCGCGGUAACACCGGCGGCCCGAGUGGUAGCCGUUAUUAUUGGGUUUAAAGGGUCCGUAGCCGGCCUAUUAAGUCUCUUGGGAAAUCUGGCGACUCAAUCGUCAGGCGUUCAAGAGAUACUGGUAGGCUUGGGACCGGGAGAGGUGGGAGGUACUCCAGGGGUAGGGGUGAAAUCUCGUAAUCCUUGGGGGACCACCGAUGGCGAAGGCAUCCCACCAGAACGGGUCCGACGGUGAGGGACGAAAGCUGGGGGCACGAACCGGAUUAGAUACCCGGGUAGUCCCAGCCGUAAACGAUGCUCGCUAGGUGUCAGGUGCGGUGCGACCGCAUCUGGUGCCGCAGUGAAAACUUGAAGCGAGUCACCUGGGAAGUACGGUCGCAAGGCUGAAACUUAAAGGAAUUGGCGGGGGAGCACUACAACGGGUGGAGCCUGCGGUUCAAUUGGAUUCAACGCCGGG